rnacentral:rRNA from 1 species
GACAAAGGGGGCUAGCGUUGUUCGGAAUUACUGGGCGUAAAGCGAGUGUAGGUGGUUGUCCAAGUUGGAUGUGAAAGCCUUGAGCUCAACUCAAGAAAUGCAUUCAGGACUGGGCGGCUAGAGGACCGGAGAGGAUAGUGGAAUUCCCAGUGUAGUGGUGAAAUACGUAGAGAUUGGGAAGAACACCAGUGGCGAAGGCGGCUCACUGGUCCGGUACUGACGCUGAGGUGCGAAAGCGUGGGGAGCAAACAGG